GACGAACGCUGGCGGCGUGCCUAAUACAUGCAAGUUGAGCGAUGAAGAUUGGUGCUUGCACCAAUUUGAAGAGCAGCGAACGGGUGAGUAACGCGUGGGGAAUCUGCCUUUGAGCGGGGGACAACAUUUGGAAACGAAUGCUAAUACCGCAUAACAACUUUAAACAUAAGUUUUAAGUUUGAAAGAUGCAAUUGCAUCACUCAAAGAUGAUCCCGCGUUGUAUUAGCUAGUUGGUGAGGUAAAGGCUCACCAAGGCGAUGAUACAUAGCCGACCCGAGAGGGUGAUCGGCCACAUUGGGACUGCGACACGGCCCAAACUCCUACGGGAGGCAGCAGUAGGGAAUCUUCGGCAAUGGACGAAAGUCUGACCGAGCAACGCCGCGUGAGUGAAGAAGGUUUUCGGAUCGUAAAACUCUGUUGGUAGAGAAGAACGUUGGUGAGAGUGGAAAGCUCAUCAAGUGACGGUAACUACCCAGAAAGGGACGGCUAACUACGUG
rnacentral:rRNA from 1 species